GGGUGAGUAACGCGUGAGUAACCUGCCUUACACAAGGGGAUAGCCGUUGGAGACGACGAAUAAUACCCUAUGAAACUAUCACUUCGCAUGAAGCGAUAGUCAAAGUGUUAGCGGUGUAAGAUGGACUUGCGUCUGAUUAGCUAGUUGGUGAGAAAAAAGCCCACCAAGGCAACGAUCAGUAGCCGGCUUGAGAGAGUGUACGGCCACAUUGGGACUGAGACACGGCCCAG
rnacentral:rRNA from 1 species